UUCCAGACUCCUACGGGAGGCAGCAGUGAGGAAUAUUGGUCAAUGGGCGGGAGCCUGAACCAGCCAUGCCGCGUGAAGGCGAGUGCCCUACGGGCGUUAAACUUCCUUUGUGCGGGAGCAAUAAGGGCCACGCGUGGCCCGAUGAGAGUACCGCACGAAUAAGCAUCGGCUAACUCCGUGCCAGCAGCCGCGGUAAUACGGGGGAUGCGAGCGUUAUCCGGAUUUAUUGGGUUUAAAGGGUGCGCAGGCGGCACGGCAAGCCGGCGGGCAAAUCGCGGGGCUCAACCCCGCCCAGCCGUCGGAACUGCCGGGCUAGAGUGGGCGAGAAGUGCGCGGAAUGCGUGGUGUAGCGGUGAAAUGCAUAGAUAUCACGCAGAACUCCGAUUGCGAAGGCAGCGCACCGGCGCCCUACUGACGCUCAGGCACGAAAGCGUGGGUAUCGAACAGGAUUAGAUACCCGAGUAA
rnacentral:rRNA from 1 species